rnacentral:rRNA from 1 species
AUUGAACGCUGGCGGCAGGCCUAACACAUGCAAGUCGAACGGUAACAGGAAGCAGCUUGCUGCUUCGCUGACGAGUGGCGGACGGGUGAGUAAUGUCUGGGAAGCUGCCUGAUGGAGGGGGAUAACUACUGGAAACGGUAGCUAAUACCGCAUAAUGUCGCAAGACCAAAGAGGGGGACCUUCGGGCCUCUUGCCAUCGGAUGUGCCCAGAUGGGAUUAGCUUGUUGGUGGGGUAACGGCUCACCAAGGCGACGAUCCCUAGCUGGUCUGAGAGGAUGACCAGCCACACUGGGACUGAGACACGGUCCAGACUCCUACGGGAGGCAGCAGUGGGGAAUAUUGCACAAUGGGCGCAAGCCUGGUGCAGCCAUGCCGCGUGUAUGAAGAAGGCCUUCGGGUUGUAAAGUACUUUCAGCGGGGAGGAAGGGAGUAAAGUUAAUACCUUUGCUCAUUGACGUUACCCGCAGAAGAAGCACCGGCUAACUCCGUG